UGGGGAAUUUUGGACAAUGGGCGAAAGCCUGAUCCAGCAAUGCCGCGUGUGUGAAGAAGGCCUUCGGGUUGUAAAGCACUUUUGUCCGGAAAGAAAUCCUUGGCUCUAAUACAGUCGGGGGAUGACGGUACCGGAAGAAUAAGCACCGGCUAACUACGUGCCAGCAGCCGCGGUAAUACGUAGGGUGCAAGCGUUAAUCGGAAUUACUGGGCGUAAAGCGUGCGCAGGCGGUUUGCUAAGACCGAUGUGAAAUCCCCGGGCUCAACCUGGGAACUGCAUUGGUGACUGGCAGGCUAGAGUAUGGCAGAGGGGGGUAGAAUUCCACGUGUAGCAGUGAAAAUGCGUAGAGAUGUGGAGGAAUACCGAUGGCGAAGGCAGCCCCCUGGGCCAAUACUGACGCUCAUGCACGAAAGCGUGGGGAGCAAACAGGAUUAGAUACCCUGGUAGUCCACGCCCUAAAACGAUGUCAACUAGUUGUUGGGGAUUCAUUUCCUUAGUAACGUAGCUAACGCGUGAAGUUGACCGCCUGGGGAGUACGGUCGCAAGAUUAAAACUUAAAGGAAUUGACGAGGUCAUAGCUGUUUCCU
rnacentral:rRNA from 1 species